CUACGGGUGGCUGCAGUGGGGAAUAUUGCACAAUGGGCGAAAGCCUGAUGCAGCGACGCCGCGUGAGUGAAGAAGUAUUUCGGUAUGUAAAGCUCUAUCAGCAGGGAAGAAGAAAUGACGGUACCUGACUAAGAAGCACCGGCUAAAUACGUGCCAGCAGCCGCGGUAAUACGUAUGGUGCAAGCGUUAUCCGGAUUUACUGGGUGUAAAGGGAGCGCAGGCGGCGCGGCAAGUCUGAUGUGAAAGCCCGGGGCUCAACCCCGGGACUACAUUGGAAACUGUCGUGCUAGAGUGUCGGAGAGGUAAGUGGAAUUCCUAGUGUAGCGGUGAAAUGCGUAGAUAUUAGGAGGAACACCAGUGGCGAAGGCGGCUUACUGGACGAUAACUGACGCUGAGGCUCGAAAGCGUGGGGAGCAAACAGGAUUAGAUACCCCCGUAGUC
rnacentral:rRNA from 1 species